UAUUAUUAUUAUUAUUAUUAUUAUUAUUAUUAUUAUUAUUUUCUUUCUUCUUUUUGGACUCAUCUCCAUCUUUGUACACCAUUGCCAAUUUGCCAUUGCUUUCAAUCCAAACACUAUGUCGUGGAUUUCCUUGUUUUUUCUUGGUAAAUUGCCUCACUUUGUCGGAAGAAGAAGCUAAAAGCUGUCCCCUUGCUGCUAGCUCAAUCCCCCACUUUCAGCAUUAACCAAGGCUCAACAAUACUUAAUACCCUUACAUAAAAUUUAUUAUAAGCUGCCAUGUGAAGAAUUCAUUACUUAAUACCCUUAUAAUAUAUAAAAGCUAUUAUCAGUUCCCAUAUGAAGAAUUGAA
rnacentral:lncRNA from 1 species